rnacentral:sRNA from 1 species
GCCAGGUGCAGAGAUGCACAACUGUAAUCCCAGCUACUUGGGAGACUGAGCUAGGAGGAUUGCAAGUUUUAGGCCAGCCUCACAACUUAGUAAGGCCUGAAGCACUAUAGCAAGACCCUGUCUUGA